rnacentral:snRNA from 1 species
GGACUGAGGGAGAUCUGGCUGUGACUUCUGUCACUCCAUGGAUCGCCAGGGUUGAUUUGGCUGAUCUGACUCUCUGGAUUGAUGCCCUCUUUCUCCCUCACUGCUUCACCGGUGUCCCUCCCCCAGCUGUGUGCUCCAAGGAAGAGAAUGACCUUCUCCCGAUGAAGGAGGAUGUCUCUUUGGUCAAGGGUACCUAGGAGCUGCGCCCAUGCUAGACUUCCAAGCAUGCUCUCCAUGUUCACAGGAGCGCUUUGAGCAGAGAGCCUAUGGGCGUUAAGUGUCUUUUCCCUGUGCUGCUCCAUGUUUAAGAAACAGAAUGUUACCUUUUAAUUUAU